GGAGCUCCCGCUCGCGCGCACCGUGCUGCCAGCCCGCGAGUCCGCCGCCGUGCCAGCGCCUCGGAAACGCGGUGCACCAUGUCUUCACCUCCCGAGGGGAAGCUGGAGACCAAAGCCGGACACCCGCCCGCCGGAUAAAGAGGACAACUUUGGCCAUUUGAAAAACUGGCCAAACCAUUUGGAGCGUCAUUGCCAACUCCCCUGAGCCAGCGACUGCAGGGGAAUCCACCAGAAGGACCUCUGCCUCUUGGAACCUCAUCAGCUCUUCUCGACAGGGGGCUCCAUCACCUGCCAGGUGCCUCCCUCCAAGGCGGUCAGAGGUUGGCUAAGUAUGCCCCCAGUGUCCUCCACCCAGUCACUGACCAAGGCUUGAGAGGACAGGCAAGAAGACUGCUUUUACUCCCAACAUCCAAGAAAAAAGACCCUUUGAGUCACCGCAUGUUUUCAAAAGCUUGCAGUCAGGGUGGACCGCAGCAUUUCUAAG
rnacentral:lncRNA from 1 species